rnacentral:lncRNA from 1 species
AUUGAAGGCUUGAGUGGAACUGAAGCUUGAGAAGGAAGCGAAAAAAUACCACAUCAUCAUCCUCAUUCAAAUACUCAACAUACUGUUAUAUGCCUGGAUGAUGUGAUGUUUAAUAAUUGAAGUUAUUACAAGGUUCCAGUUAGUGAGUGCUAAAAUGGCUUUUGAGGAAUAUGUUUCAGCUUCUCUAUUCUUCAUCCCUACCUACAUGCUCUUAAUAUGAC